rnacentral:rRNA from 1 species
UACGUAGGGCGCAAGCGUUGUCCGGAAUUAUUGGGCGUAAAGAGCUCGUAGGCGGCCAGUUGCGUCCGCUGUGAAAUCCCGGGGCUUAACCCCGGGCGUGCAGUGGAUACGGGCUGGCUAGAGGCAGGCAGGGGAGAACGGAAUUCCCGGUGUAGCGGUGAAAUGCGCAGAUAUCGGGAGGAACACCGGUGGCGAAGGCGGUUCUCUGGGCCUGUACUGACGCUGAGACGCGAAAGCGUGGGGAGCGAACAGG